rnacentral:rRNA from 1 species
UACGAAGGGGGCUAGCGUUGCUCGGAAUCACUGGGCGUAAAGCGCACGUAGGCGGACUCUUAAGUCGGUGGUGAAAUCCUGGAGCUCAACUCCAGAACUGCCUUCGAUACUGAGAGUCUUGAGUCCGGGAGAGGUGAGUGGAGCUGCGAGUGUAGAGGUGAAAUUCGUAGAUAUUCGCAAGAACACCAGUGGCGAAGGCGGCUCACUGGCCCGAUACUGACGCUGAGGCACGAAAAGCGUGGGGAGCAAACAGG